rnacentral:rRNA from 1 species
GACGAACGCUGGCGGCGUGCUUAACACAUGCAAGUCGAACGAAGUGGCGAACGGGUGAGUAAUACGUGAGUAACCUGCCCUCCUUUUUGGGAUAAGCCUUGGAAACGGGGUCUAAUACCGAAUAAAGGGGGAUGGGCUCGCGGCCUGUCAGCUUGUUGGUGGGGUGAUGGCCUAACAAGGCGGUGACGGGUAGCCGGCCUGAGAGGGUGACCGGCCACAUUGAGACUGAGAUACGGCCCAGACGCCUACGGGUGGGAGCAGUGGGGGAUAUUGCACAAUGGGCUAAAGCCUGAUGCAGCGACGCCGCGUAGGGGAUGAAGUCUUUCGGGUUGUAAACCUCUUUCGCUAUCUAACUGGUAGGUGGAGAAGAAGCGCCGGCUAACGACGUGCCAGCAGCCGCGGUAAUAC